rnacentral:lncRNA from 1 species
GUCCAUCCCUCGCUGCCUGCUUUAAGUUUGCCCUAUCGGGAGUGCCGGAGUGCUCUGCGCCGGGCCGAGGGUGGGGCCAGUGCUUGUGGUUCCGGUUUGAUUCCUGCCGCUCCUCGGCUCCUCGUCCUCCCCCUCCCCUCCCGCACUUCUCCUCCCUCCCAUUCCAGGGAAAGAGAAGCCACCACUGCGGGUGGGUAGAGAAGCGCUUGGCGUCUCCGGGAGGGAACUGACCCCGCCCCGUUUGAGCCCCGGAUCACGGCCGGACGAGCGUCAUACAGGAGCGGUACCCGCUAAGUGGGCAGGCAUCACAGCGUAAAAGAAAGAGGAUGGAACCGGGUUUGUUGCUCCUAAAUGAUACUUCACGUUUGGAAAGUACCAGAGUGGCAUAUUCAACCAAGUCUCCCAGCUCCAUAUUAAAUCUGGACGAUUAGCCCUGAGCUAACUGCUGUCAAUCCUCCUUUUUUCGCUGAGGAAGACUGGCCCUGAGGUAACAUCCAUGCCCAUCUCCCUCUACUUUAUAUGUGGGAC